GCGCACAAUCCCACAAGUUGUUGUGACGCUUUCACUCCACGUGCACGUGCGUUUCCUUUCCUGUCUUUCAUCACUUUGCGGCGACAACAUGGAGCCAGAAACCUAAGUCUCUAAAAAAUAUACCAAGAUAGACAACUAAACUGUUAAUGCAUAAUUUGCCUAACUGACCAAGUUCACCUUUCAAGCUUACAGGUAUCCCCAAGGCCAGAAUGACUGAGGAACCUUUACCUAAAAAGGUUCGUCUCAGUGAAGGUGAUCUGAAGACUUUGACCAGAGAGGAGCUCUGUGAAAGGUGGAAGCAGGAGGAUGCUUAUGUGCAGAUACUUGAGACAAAAUACUCUGAAUUGAAUUCAAAUGAUGUGAUGGGCCUGAGGGAGUCUGAGGAGAAACUGAAGCAGCAGCAACAAGAGGCUGCCAGGAGAGAGAACAUCCUUGUUAUGAGGUUGGCCACAAAGGAGCAGGAGAUGCAAGAAUGCACAACCCAGAUCCAGUACCUGAAGCAAGCCCAGCAACCCAAUGUGGCCCAGCUGAGAUCUACCAUGGUGGACCCUGCGGUCUACUUGUUUUUCCUUAAGAUGAAGAGCGAACUGGAAGAGAACAAAGACAAAUUGGAGCAAGCCCAAAAUGAACUAAGUGCCUGGAAAUUUACACCUGAUAGGUAAACCAAACCAAAAUAACCCUCGAUCCUCCAGCCAAAGACUGUGCCAGCCAGACAACUGACUCUCUUCUGCAAGAAUGCAAAAUGGAGGGAAAGGAAGGCAGGAAAAUGCAAUACGCUCAAACAUGACUGUGACUUUUUAAAAAGGAAAGAGAGACAGAUCAGAUCAGCCCCACUACUCCUCCUGCAUAUGUCAUAAACUCUUUGUCAGGUGAACUGGUUUCAGCUCUGAGUGACCCUGUUAAGGGGCUUGAAGGAAUCGGGACUGCUCAGAAGAGAUGGUCACUGACACUCAACCUCCAAACCCUCUCCCGCUAGGAACAUUGCUAUACUUUGUUUGGUUUGAUCUGAACAUUUCAGUGUGAAUGGCUUAGGCCUAGAUCACACAACCUGUCUCCUUACUUAGUACAUGCUUUCUCCAAUAAAUGUUAACUUAAACUAACGUUACCCCAUUCCACAUAGAGUAUAGAUAUUGAUUUAAAUUAAAGAGUUGAAAAUGGAGGAACUUGCACAAGGCCCAGUCCAGAGACUGUUAAACACUAAAGACAUUUGUUGUAGUGAUCCUGGGCUUGCUUCAAGGAGUCAUCUUGAACACCUUUUUCAGUAAUAUGAACGAUACCCAGCCAGACCGGAAAGAAGUUGAUGGCUAAGUGCAGGAUGUUGAUCCAGGAGAACCAGGAGCUGGGCAGACAGAUCUCUCAGGGUCGUAUUGCCCAGCUGGAGGCAGAGCUGGCCCUGCAGAAGAAGUACAGCGAGGAGCUCAAGAGCAGCCAGGAUGAGUUGAACGACUUCAUCAUCCAGCUGGAUGAAGAGGUGGAGGGCAUGCAGAGCACCAUCCUGGUCCUCCAGCAGCAGCUUCGGGAGACCCGCCAGCAGCUAACCCUGAGAGAGAGCUCUGUUCCUGGGUCGGCCCCCAUGGACCACCACCCAGAGUCAGAGGCUGGCUUUAGCAAAGACUGCGAGGCAGGAUUGGUCAAGGCCAACGGACCAGGCAACACCAGCCCCUUUGAUAGGACAGAAACAGCUCCCGGCCCCUCCCCUUUCACAGAGGCAGAGACAGGCAUCAAUACGGAGCAGGAUCAGGAGUCCCUACCGUCUCCAUCUCCCUCCACCACAGGCACAGACUCCAAGCUCUGUAGCCACUUUAGGACCAUAACGAACCAGCUUAGCGAGGGCUAUGAGACUGUAGACUCCCCCACAGGUAGUGAUACCUCCGUCACACAACACUUUAUAGAGACAAACUCAAACCAGGACCCUCAGGAGGACAGGAUAGUGGCACGGACUAGUUCUAGCAAAGGCGGCAGGACUGUGGGCUCGUGCUCUACCCAGAAUGGGUUGAAUGUUACAGGGUAGGGUCUCAGAUAUUAAUGGCUGGUUUCCCGGACACAGAGUAAGGCUAUUCGUGGAUUAAACUCUCAAUGGAUAGAAAUCAUGCCUCAGAAUACUGAUGUAGGUUACUGAUGAAAUGUUAUGUAUGCCC